rnacentral:rRNA from 1 species
GACGAACGCUGGCGGCGUGCUUAACACAUGCAAGUCGAGCGAGGCCCCUCCUUCGGGAGGGUGUCCUAGCGGCGAACGGGUGAGUAACACGUGGGCAACCUGCCCUCAGCUCUGGGAUAACUCCGGGAAACCGGGGCUAAUACCGGAUACGACCUCCACGGGCAUCUGCGGAGGUGGAAAGUUUUUCGGCUGAGGAUGGGCCCGCGGCCUAUCAGCUAGUUGGUGGGGUAGUGGCCCACCAAGGCGACGACGGGUAGCCGGCCUGAGAGGGCGACCGGCCACACUGGGACUGAGACACGGCCCAGACUCCUACGGGAGGCAGCAGUGGGGAAUAUUGCGCAAUGGGCGAAAGCCUGACGCAGCGACGCCGCGUGAGGGACGAAGGCCUUCGGGUUGUAAACCUCUUUCAGCAGGGACGAAGCGAAAGUGACGGUACCUGCAGAAGAAGCACCGGCCAACUACGUGC